rnacentral:tRNA from 1 species
AAGAUGCUAGUAUAAAGAGUAUUACACCGCCUUGUCAAGGCUAAAAUGUGGGUUUAACUCCCGCGCAUCUUA